rnacentral:pre_miRNA from 1 species
CCACCACUUAAACGUGGAUGUGCUUGCUUUGCAUAUAAAGAGUAAGUGCUUCCAUGUUUUGGUGAUGG